rnacentral:tRNA from 1 species
AUUUAUAUAGUUUAAAAAAAACUAUACAUUUUCAUUGUAUCAAUAAAAAAUUUUUUUAUAAAUU